ensembl:lncRNA
UUCACAAAUUUAUUCCUUUCAGAAAAUAACUUACAUUCCAGAACACACACAUUGUGACAGCAUAUUUCCAGUGUUCCUUUUCUUGUAAUUUUUCUUAAGUUGCAUUUACACAGGAAGCCCAAUUCUGAUCUUUUGGCCCCAAUAUUGGCAAAAGAUCUGAUCUGAUUGGGCAAGAGAUCAGAAUUGGGCAACCGGUGUGAACGUAGCCUUACACACAGUAAAGAGGUUAGACAUUGCAUUAUCAGAAGGAUUUCUGGCGGAUAUAUUUACACGUACAGUACAUUCAGAUCAACAUCAUAAAAAGGUCCAUCCUAUCAGAUCAGUGAUUAAAAGGUCCAUCCUAUCAGAUCAGCGUGAUAAAAAGGUCCAUCCUAUCAGAUCUGCGUGAUAAAAAGGUCCAUCCUAUCAGAUCAGUGAUAAAAAGGUCCAUCCUAUCAGAUC